rnacentral:rRNA from 1 species
AUUGAACGCUGGCGGCAGGCCUAACACAUGCAAGUCGAGCGGAUGAAGGGAGCUUGCUCCUGGAUUCAGCGGCGGACGGGUGAGUAAUGCCUAGGAAUCUGCCUGGUGGUGGGGGAUAACGUCCGGAAACGGGCGCUAAUACCGCAUACGUCCUGAGGGAGAAAGUGGGGGAUCUUCGGACCUCACGCUAUCAGAUGAGCCUAGGUCGGAUUAGCUAGUUGGUGGGGUAAAGGCCUACCAAGGCGACGAUCCGUAACUGGUCUGAGAGGAUGAUCAGUCACACUGGAACUGAGACACGGUCCAGACUCCUACGGGAGGCAGCAGUGGGGAAUAUUGGACAAUGGGCGAAAGCCUGAUCCUGCCAUGCCGCGUGUGUGAAGAAGGUCUUCGGAUUGUAAAGCACUUUAAGUUGGGAGGAAGGGCAGUAAGUUAAUACCUUGCUGUUUUGACGUUACCAACAGAAUAAGCACCGGCUAACUUCGUG